rnacentral:rRNA from 1 species
GACGAAGGAUGCAAGCGUUAUCCGGAUUCAUUGGGUUUAAAGGGUGCAUAGGCGGACUGAUAAGUCAGUGGUGAAAUCUCUUUGCUUAACAAAGAAACCGCCAUUGAUACUGUCGGUCUAGAGUAUAGAUGACGUUGGCGGAAUAUGACAUGUAGUGGUGAAAUACUUAGAUAUGUCAUAGAACACCGAUUGCGAAGGCAGCUAACGAAACUGUAACUGACGCUGAGGCACGAAAGUGCGGGGAUCAAACAGG